rnacentral:rRNA from 1 species
GACGAGCGCUGGCGGCGUGCUUAACACAUGCAAGUCGAACGGAAAGGCCCUGCUUUUGUGGGGUGCUCGAGUGGCGAACGGGUGAGUAACACGUGAGUAACCUGCCCUUGACUUUGGGAUAACUUCAGGAAACUGGGGCUAAUACCGGAUAGGAGCUCCUGCUGCAUGGUGGGGGUUGGAAAGUUUCGGCGGUUGGGGAUGGACUCGCGGCUUAUCAGCUUGUUGGUGGGGUAGUGGCUUACCAAGGCUUUGACGGGUAGCCGGCCUGAGAGGGUGACCGGCCACAUUGGGACUGAGAUACGGCCCAGACUCCUACGGGAGGCAGCAGUGGGGAAUAUUGCACAAUGGGCGGAAGCCUGAUGCAGCAACGCCGCGUGCGGGAUGACGGCCUUCGGGUUGUAAACCGCUUUCGCCUGUGAUGAAGCGUGAGUGACGGUAAUGGGUAAAGAAGCACCGGCUAACUACGUG